GUCUCUAUAGAUUAGUGGUUAGAUCAGCACGUUGUGGAAUACGCAAAUCCGUGCAGACGCCGGCUCGAAUCCGGCUAGGGACA
rnacentral:tRNA from 1 species